rnacentral:rRNA from 1 species
UACGUAGGGUCCGAGCGUUGUCCGGAAUUAUUGGGCGUAAAGAGCUCGUAGGCGGUCUGUCGCGUCGGCUGUGAAAACUCGGGGCUCAACUCCGAGCUUGCAGUCGAUACGGGCAGGCUAGAGUUCGGCAGGGGAGACUGGAAUUCCUGGUGUAGCGGUGAAAUGCGCAGAUAUCAGGAGGAACACCGGUGGCGAAGGCGGGUCUCUGGGCCGAUACUGACGCUGAGGAGCGAAAGCGUGGGGAGCGGACAGG